rnacentral:lncRNA from 1 species
CUAACAAAUCUCCCCUUUUUGGCUUGAUUUUCUUCAAAAUAUUCUUGAUUCUCUUUCUUCUUGUGCAUAAUCUUCACUCUUCAUAUAUAUUCUUCAUAUAUCACUGUUGUUUGGCAUGUUUAAAAAUGGAGCUUUUGGGGUUAAAAAAUAUAUUAGCCCUUUUUCGAGUUAAAAAUAUUGGAGCCCUUUUGCAUGGUUACAAGUGAGCUUUAUUUUCAAAUAUGUGACAGCAGAAUUGUUGAAAAUAUGAUUGACAAUUAUCUCGACAUGUAGCUUUUGGACAUAUAUCUUCAUUAUCAUCAAAUUGGUUGCAGCUUGAUUUUGAAACCGCUUUGAACCUAUUUAAUCUCGUCUCACCACACCAUUGGACCAUUGAACCGUAAGCUUUGAUACCACUUGUUGGGUUCGAAAUCGAGAGGGCGCCAUGCGGAAGCUAUUAGUUGCAAACUAUGAGACGAUAAAUAAGAUGACAACGAAAAACAAUACUAAAAACAUAAUUUUAUUAUAUGAUUUGGUCAAUGGGCCUACAUAUAAAACCUAAUAUUAAAAAUAUAAAACUAAUAAGAGAGAAAAUUCCCUAAAAGAAAAUCUUAAAAGACUACAUUGUGGAUG